rnacentral:rRNA from 1 species
UAAUACGAAGGGUGCAAGCGUUAAUCGGAAUUACUGGGCGUAAAGGGUGCGUAGACGGCCUGUUAAGUCGACUGUGAAAGUCCUGGGCUCAACCUGGGGACUGCAGUUGAUACUGGGAGGCUUUGAGUUUGGGAGAGGGUGGUGGAAUUCCCGGUGUAGCGGUGAAAUGCGUAGAGAUCGGGAGGAACAUCCGUGGCGAAGGCGGCCACCUGGCCUGAAACUGACGUUGAGGCACGAAAGCGUGGGGAGCAAACAGG